rnacentral:tRNA from 1 species
CGCGGAGAAGAGCAGUCAGGUCGCUCGCUGGGCUCAUAUCCCAGAGGUCGCCGGUUCGAAUCCGGUCUCCGCCA